ACAGAUAGAAAAGCUGUUGAAGUUCUCUUUGGGCAGUUGCUGCAUUUUUUUAACAACAACAUGAACAGUAACAUGCGUGAACAGUACCGUAAAACAUUCUAGACGGUGUAUAAUGAGCUGUUCGAGUUUUCUUUCAUUUUUGGACUUCCAAGCUAGAUUGGGACGAUUUUCAAAGGCAAAGUUCACCAUAAAACUUGGGGUAAGUGUGCU
rnacentral:lncRNA from 1 species